UACGAAGGGGGCUAGCGUUGCUCGGAAUCACUGGGCGUAAAGCGCACGUAGGCGGCUUUCUAAGUCAGGGGUGAAAUCCUGGAGCUCAACUCCAGAACUGCCUUUGAUACUGGAGAGCUUGAGUCCGGAAGAGGUGAGUGGAACUCCGAGUGUAGAGGUGAAAUUCGUAGAUAUUCGGAAGAACACCGGUGGCGAAGGCGGCGCUCUGGACCGAGACUGACGCUGAGGCGCGAAAGCGUGGGGAGCAAACAGG
rnacentral:rRNA from 1 species